rnacentral:rRNA from 1 species
ACGGGUGAGUAAUGUCUGGGAAACUGCCUGAUGGAGGGGGAUAACUACUGGAAACGGUAGCUAAUACCGCAUAACGUCGCAAGACCAAAGAGGGGGACCUUCGGGCCUCUUGCCAUCAGAUGUGCCCAGAUGGGAUUAGCUAGUAGGUGGGGUAACGGCUCACCUAGGCGACGAUCCCUAGCUGGUCUGAGAGGAUGACCAGCCACACUGGAACUGAGACACGGUCCAGACUCCUACGGGAGGCAGCAGUGGGGAAUAUUGCACAAUGGGCGCAAGCCUGAUGCAGCCAUGCCGCGUGUAUGAAGAAGGCCUUCGGGUUGUAAAGUACUUUCAGCGGGGAGGAAGGUGCUGAGGUUAAUAACCUCAGCAAUUGACGUUACCCGCAGAAGAAGCACCGGCUAACUCCGUGCCAGCAGCCGCGGUAAUACGGAGGGUGCAAGCGUUAAUCGGAAUUACUGGGCGUAAAGCGCACGCAGGCGGUCUGUCAAGUCGGAUGUGAAAUCCCCGGGCUCAACCUGGGAACUGCAUUCGAAACUGGCAGGCUAGAGCCUUGUAGAGGGGGGUAGAAUUCCAGGUGUAGC